UACGUAGGGUGCAAGCGUUAAUCGGAAUACUGGGCGUAAAGCGUGCGCAGGCGGUUUUGUAAGUCUGUCGUGAAAUCCCCGGGCUCAACCUGGGAAUUGCGAUGGAGACUGCAAGGCUAGAAUCUGGCAGAGGGGGGUAGAAUUCCACGUGUAGCAGUGAAAUGCGUAGAGAUGUGGAGGAACACCGAUGGCGAAGGCAGCCCCCUGGGUCAAGAUUGACGCUCCAUGCACGAAAGGCGUGGGGAGCAAAC
rnacentral:rRNA from 1 species